GACCAGACUCCUACGGGAGGCAGCAGUGAGGAAUAUUGGUCAAUGGGCGAGAGCCUGAACCAGCCAAGUCGCGUGAGGGAGUACUGCCCUAUGGGUUGUAAACCUCUUUUGUCGGGGAGCAAAAGCCGGACGUGUCCGGCUGUGAGAGUACCCGAAGAAAAAGCAUCGGCUAACUCCGUGCCAGCAGCCGCGGUAAUACGGAGGAUGCGAGCGUUAUCCGGAUUUAUUGGGUUUAAAGGGUGCGUAGGCGGUCCGUUAAGUCAGGGGUAAAAUUGCGGGGCUCAACCCCGUCGAGCCGUUGAAACUGGCAGACUUGAGUUGGCGAGAAGUACGCGGAAUGCGCGGUGUAGCGGUGAAAUGCAUAGAUAUCGCGCAGAACUCCGAUUGCGAAGGCAGCGUAUCGGCGCCAGACUGACGCUGAGGCACGAAAGCGUGGGGAUCGAACAGGAUUAGAUACCCGAGUAU
rnacentral:rRNA from 1 species